CGAAGUCCUAUGUUUGAACUUAACAACAGUUUCUUCUCAAUGCUGCUGUCCUCAAGACGAGCAAGUCGAGGAGAGGGUAGGGCUUUUGGAAGGAAGACUCCUCGCUGGGACACAGGCUGACCGGUCCCGGGGAGCCUCGCCAAAGGGGAUCAACCAAGCGCAGACGCAACUUUGGGCACGUCUCCCGGCGACGACGAAGUACGGAGCGACGUUUGACCCGCUCCAGAUUGCUGGCUCUCAUGUACGGCAGUCACAGUUCAGAGCUAGACAGGACACGGACCUGGUCCUUGGAGCGGGCGAUGGAGUCAUCGAUGCGGCACAGGAAAUCUGACAUGCUUUCUUCCGCCAUCUGC